GCAGGUUGAAGCGCGGGUAAGACCGCGUGGAGGACCGAACCCACCUGGGUUGAAAACCGGGGGGAUGACCUGGGGCUAGGGGUGAAAGGCCAAUCAAAUUCCGUGAUAGCUGGUUCUCUCCGAAAUGCAUUUAGGUGCAGCGUCGGUCGAUUGCGUCGCGGGGGUAGAGCUACCGGAUGCUUGCGGGCCCUUGUUGGGUACCAACAGCAGCCGAACUCCGAAUACCGUUGACGUGUAUUCCGGCAGUGAGUCGGCGGGGGAUAAGCUCCGUCGUCGAGAGGGAGACAGCCCAGACCGUCGUCUAAGGUCCCGAAGCGUGUGCUAAGUGGGAAAGGAUGUGGAGUCGCAUAGACAGCCAGGAGGUUGGCUCAGAAGCAGCCAUCCUUGAAAGAGUGCGUAACAGCUCACUGGUCUAGUGGUUCCGCGCCGACAAUGUAGCGGGGCUCAAGCACACCACCGAAGACGCGGCAGCAAUCUUCAUGGUUGCUGGGUAGGAGAGCGUCCUGCGAGGGGCGAAGCGGCCGGGUAACCGUGCCGUGGACUUCGUGGGAGUGAGAAUGCAGACAUGAGUAGCGAGAGACGGGUGAGGAUCCCGUCCGCUGGAUGACCAAGGGUUCCGGGGCCACGUUCGUCGUCCCCGGGUGAGUCGGGUCCUAAGGCGAGGCCGACAGGCGUAGUCGAAUGGAUGAACGGGUGGAUAUUCCCGUACCGACCAUGGACCGGCAAAACCGAGACGGUGAGUACUAACCUCCGCCUCGUGGUGGUUCCUUCCUUCGGGUUGGUUCCGCCGCGUGGUGUUGGGACUGUAGCCGCAGUAGGUCAGCGCAGGGGUGACACGGAAUGGGAGCCGGCCGCGGAGGUGGUUUUCCGUGGUCAAGCACGCAGCCAGUCAUGUAGGCAAAUCCGCAUGGCGCGCAUGGCGAGGUGUGAUGAUGGGAGCCGUUAUGGCUCGAUAUCCGGUUGUCCAGGCCGUCGAGAAAAGCCUCGGCGUGAGGGCCAUGGCCGCCCGUACCCCAAACCGACACUGGUGGUCAGGUAGAGAAUACCAAGGCGAUCGAGCGAAUCCUGGUCAAGGAACUCGGCAAAUCACUCCCGUGCCUUCGGUAUAAGGGAGACCCGCUGGGGUGAACCGGCUAGCCCGGGGAGCUUUGGUGGGUGGCACAGACCAGGGGGUAGCGACUGUUUACCAAAAACACAGGUGCAUGCGAAGGCGAAAGCCGCUGUAUAUGCACUGACGCCUGCCCGGUGCCGGAAGGUUAAGAGGAUCCGUCAAUCCCUUCGGGGACGAAGCGGUGAAUUCAAGCCCCGGUAAACGGCGGUGGUAACUAUAACCAUCCUAAGGUAGCGAAAUUCCUUGUCGGGUAAGUUCCGACCUGCACGAAUGGCGUAACGACUUCCCCACUGUCUCGACCAGGAGCUCGGCGAAAUUGCAGUACGAGUAAAGAUGCUCGUUAAGCGCAGAAGGACGAAAAGACCCCGGGACCUUUACUAUACCUUGGUAUUGGCGUUAGGCGCGGAUUGUGUAGCAUAGGCGGGAGGCUUCGAAGCGGGUGCGCCAGCAUUCGUGGAGCCGCAAGGUGAAAUACCGCUCUGUUCUCGUUUGACGUCUAACCUCGACAAGUCAUCCUUGUCAGGGACAGUGCCUGGCGGGUAGUUCAACUGGGGCGGUUGCCUCCCAAAGAGUAACGGAGGCGCUCAAAGGUCCGCUCAGCCCGGUUGGCAAUCGGGUGUCGAGUGUAAUCGCACAAGCGGGCUUGACUGCGAGGACGACGGUCCGAGCAGGGACGAAAGUCGGAGAUAGUGAUCCGGUGCCGGCGCACGGGCGCGGCAUCGCUCAACGGAUAAAAGGUACCCCGGGGAUAACAGGCUGAUCAUUCCCAAGAGUCCAUAUCGACGGGAUGGUUUGGCACCUCGAUGUCGGCUCGUCGCAUCCUGGGGCUGGAGCAGGUCCCAAGGGUUCGGCUGUUCGCCGAUUAAAGCGGCACGCGAGCUGGGUUCAGAACGUCGUGAGACAGUUUGGUCUCUAUCCUCUGCGCUCGUUGGAAUCCUGAGGAGGCCUGCCCAUAGUACGAGAGGACCUGGGUGGACGAACCUCUGGUAUGCCGGUUGUC
rnacentral:rRNA from 1 species